rnacentral:rRNA from 1 species
CUUAAGCAUAUCAAUAAGCGGAGGAAAAGAAACCAACAGGGAUUGCCCCAGUAACGGCGAAGUGAAGCGGCAACAGCUCAAAUUUGAAAUCUGGCCCCUAGGGCCCGAGUUGUAAUUUGCAGAGGAUGCUUUUGGCAAGGCGCCGCCCGAGUUCCCUGGAACGGGACGCCGCAGAGGGUGAGAGCCCCGUCUGGCUGGACGCCGAGCCUUUGUAAAGCUCCUUCGACGAGUCGAGUAGUUUGGGAAUGCUGCUCUAAAUGGGAGGUAUAUGUCUUCUAAAGCUAAAUAUUGGCCAGAGACCGAUAGCGCACAAGUAGAGUGAUCGAAAGAUGAAAAGCACUUUGAAAAGAGGGUUAAACAGUACGUGAAAUUGUUGAAAGGGAAGCGCUCAUGACCAGACUUGGGCUUGGCGGAUCAUCCGGCGUUCUCGCCGGUGCACUUCGCCUCGCCCAGGCCAGCAUCAGUUCGCCCCGGGGGACAAAAGCUUCGGGAAUGUGGCUCCUCCGGGAGUGUUAUAGCCCGUGGCACAAUACCCUGGGGCGGACUGAGGUUCGCGCGUCCGCAAGGAUGCUGGCGUAAUGGUCAUCAGCGACCCGUCUUGAAACACGGACCAAGGAGUCGUCCUCGUAUGCGAGUGUUCGGGUGUCAAACCCCUACGCGUAAUGAAAGUGAACGCAGGUGAGAGCUUCGGCGCAUCAUCGACCGAUCCUGAUGUUCUCGGAUGGAUUUGAGUAAGAGCAUACGGGGCCGGACCCGAAAGAAGGUGAACUAUGCCUGUAUAGGGUGAAGCCAGAGGAAACUCUGGUGGAGGCUCGCAGCGGUUCUGACGUGCAAAUCGAUCGUCAAAUAUGGGCAUGGGGGCGAAAGACUAAUCGAACCUUCUAGUAGCUGGUUUCCGC